rnacentral:ncRNA from 2 species
AAAAAAAAAAAAAAAUAA